CCCUUAGAUGUUCUGGGCCGCACGCGUGCUACACUGAGUGGAUCAGCGGGUCAGGUUACGCGAGAGCGUUUCCUAAUCUUCAAAUCCGCUCGUGAUGGGGAUUGACGGUUGCAAUUUUCCGUCAUGAACGAGGAAUACCUUGUAAGCGCGGGUCAUCAUCCCGCGCUGAAUACGUCCCUGCCCUUUGUACACACCGCCCGUCGCUCCUACCGAUUGAGUGGUCCGGUGAGGCUUUGGGAUCUAAGCGAAAAGAGCGUUUCGCUCCUUUUGCUGGGAGAACUCAGUCGAACCUUAUCAUUUAGAGGAAGGAGAAGUCGCAACA
rnacentral:rRNA from 1 species